GCAGAUUUUCCGUGAAUCAUCGAAUCUUUGAACGCACCUUGCGCUCCUUGGUAUUCCGAGGAGCAUGCCUGUUUGAGUGUCAU
rnacentral:rRNA from 1 species